rnacentral:rRNA from 1 species
UACAGGGGGGGCAAGCGUUGUUCGGAAUUACUGGGCGUAAAGGGUUUGUAGGUGGCUUGCUAAGUCAGACGUGAAAUCCCUCGGCUUAACCGGGGAACUGCGUCUGAUACUGGAUGGCUUGAGUUUGGGAGAGGGAUGCGGAAUUCCAGGUGUAGCGGUGAAAUGCGUAGAUAUCUGGAGGAACACCGGUGGCGAAGGCGGCAUCCUGGACCAACACUGACGCUGAGUGAGCGAAAGCCAGGGGAGCAAACGGG